GUUCCUGGCUCAGGAUGAACGCUGGCGGCGUGCUUAACACAUGCAAGUCGAACGAAGCACUUUAACCUGAUUCUUCGGAUGAAGGUUUUUGUGACUGAGUGGCGGACGGGUGAGUAACGCGUGGGUAACCUGCCUCAUACAGGGGGAUAACAGUUAGAAAUGACUGCUAAUACCGCAUAAGACCACGGAGCCGCAUGGCUCAGUGGGAAAAACUCCGGUGGUAUGAGAUGGACCCGCGUCUGAUUAGG
rnacentral:rRNA from 1 species